AGGGAAUCUUCCGCAAUGGGCGAAAGCCUGACGGAGCAACGCCGCGUGAAUGAUGAAGGUCUUCGGAUCGUAAAACUCUGUUAUUAGGGAAGAACAAAUGUGUAAGUAACUAUGCACGUCUUGACGGUACCUAAUCAGAAAGCCACGGCUAACUACGUGCCAGCAGCCGCGGUAAUACGUAGGUGGCAAGCGUUAUCCGGAAUUAUUGGGCGUAAAGCGCGCGUAGGCGGUUUUUUAAGUCUGAUGUGAAAGCCCACGGCUCAACCGUGGAGGGUCAUUGGAAACUGGAAAACUUGAGUGCAGAAGAGGAAAGUGGAAUUCCAUGUGUAGCGGUGAAAUGCGCAGAGAUAUGGAGGAACACCAGUGGCGAAGGCGACUUUCUGGUCUGUAACUGACGCUGAUGUGCGAAAGCGUGGGGAUCAAACAGGAUUAGAUACCCUGGUAGUCCACGCCGUAAGCGAUGAGUGCUAAGUGUUAGGGGGUUUCCGCCCCUUAGUGCUGCAGCUAACGCAUUAAGCACUCCGCCUGGGGAGUACGACCGCAAGGUUG
rnacentral:rRNA from 1 species